UAUCCCCUGCGGUGUUCGUGGAGCCGUGAGUUCCAUGAACCAAUAUAAAGAGAAUGGUCGCCAACUAAUUAUUCCGCCGGUGUGCAUGCCCCUUUUUGCGGGUGAGCCUGAAGCGGAAAGGAAGCGACCCCCUGAACCCUAGGUUCAGGAUAAACCGGCGAGACGGCAUCAGCGGGGGACCC
rnacentral:other from 1 species